rnacentral:lncRNA from 1 species
AGGAAGAAGAAGGAGAAGAUGGUUGUGCCACCGUGGCCGGUGGUGGCGAGCUCUGGAGGUGCGGCGAAGCCGGCUGAAGACGUAGCGGAGGCCGGAGAGGGCAACAGCGGCGACGGCGAGAGAGUGCGAGAAGUGGCAGCGGCUUUCUUACCACCGUUUCCAGCGUCCUUUGGCAACAAUUUCGGUCUCAAAAUGACCGGUGAGUUGAAGGCUUUUUUUUAGGAGUAGCGGCGUUAGCAGUCGGAGGGAGGAGAUUCGGUGAAGUUAUGACAGUCGGAAUCUUGGGCUUUUUCGGUGAGCUUUGGCCGAUCGGAGGGUAUAU